GAGUCAAUGUGGAGGUUCUAUACAGGGGGACGCGGUACAUAGUCAAUGUGGAUACUAUAUACAGAGGGUACCAGUACAGAGUCAAUGUGGAGACUAUAUACAGGGGGUACAGGUACAGAGUCAAUGUGGAGGUUAUAUACAGGGGAUACUGGUACAGAGUCAAUGUGGAGGCUAUAUACAGGGGGUACCGGUACAGAGUCAAUGUGGAGGCUAUAUACAGGGGGUACCGGUACAGAGUCAAUGUGGAGGUUAUAUACAGGGGGUACCGGUACAGAGUCAAUGUGGAGCUUAUAUACAGGGGCUACCGGUACAGAGUCAAUGUGGAGACUAUAUACAGGGGGUACCGGUACAGACUCAACGUGGAGACUCUAUACAGGGGGUACCGGUACAGAGUCAAUGUGGAGACUAUAUACAGGGGGUACCGGUACAGAGUCAACGUGGAGUCCAUAUACAAGGGGUACCGGUACAGAGUCAACGUGGAGACUAUAUACAGGGGGUACCGGUACAGAGUCAAUGUGGAGACUAUAUACAGGGGGUACAGGUACAGAGUCAAUGUGGUGGUUAUAUACAGGGGAUACUGGUACAGAGUCAAUGUGGAGGUUAUAUACAGGGGGUACCGGUACAGAGUCAACGUGGAGUCUAUAUACAAGGGAUACCGCUACAGAGUCAACGUGGAGACUAUAUACAGGGGGUACCGGUACAGAGUCAAUG
ensembl:lncRNA